rnacentral:rRNA from 1 species
GACGAACGCUGGCGGCGUGCUUAACACAUGCAAGUCGAACGGAAAGGCCCUGCUUGCAGGGUACUCGAGUGGCGAACGGGUGAGUAACACGUGGGUGAUCUGCCCUGCACUUCGGGAUAAGCCUGGGAAACUGGGUCUAAUACCGGAUAGGAGCCAUUUUUAGUGUGAUGGUUGGAAAGUUUUUUCGGUGUAGGAUGAGCUCGCGGCCUAUCAGCUUGUUGGUGGGGUAAUGGCCUACCAAGGCGGCGACGGGUAGCCGGCCUGAGAGGGUGGACGGCCAAAAUGGGGAUGGAGAUAGGCCCAAGAUCCUAAGGGGAGGAAGAGUGGGGGAUAUUGCACAAUGGGCGCAAGCCUGAUGCAGCGACGCCGCGUGGGGGAUGACGGCCUUCGGGUUGUAAACUCCUUUCGCUAGGGACGAAGCUUUUUGUGACGGUACCUAGAGAAGAAGCACCGGCUAACUACGUG